rnacentral:misc_RNA from 1 species
GAUGAAGAACGUAGCGAAAUGCGAUACGUAAUGUGAAUUGCAAAUUCAGUGAAUCAUCGAGUCUUUGAACGCACAUUGCGCCCCCUGGUAUUCCGGGGGGCAUGCCUGUCCGAGCGUCAUUGCUGCCCUCAAGCACGGCUUGUGUGUUGGGCCCCGUCCUCCGAUCCCGGGGGACGGGCCCGAAAGGCAGCGGCGGCACCGCGUCCGGUCCUCGAGCGUAUGGGGCUUUGUCACCCGCUCUGUAGGCCCGGCCGGCGCUUGCCGAUCAACCCAAAUUUUUAUCCAGGUUGACCUCGGAUGAGGUAGGGAUACCCGCUGAACUUAAGCAUAUCAAUAAGCGGAGGA